rnacentral:piRNA from 1 species
UGAUUAUCAAUGGUUGGUUGUGGG